UCAAUAUGAUGAUAUUAUCGAUCGAAACUUCAAAGCCAGUAGUAAUUUUUCAAAACAAAAGAGAAAUUUUGGAAAUUUCGGAGUUAAAAUGAAAAUUAUUGAAGAUUGGAUUAUAGAAUAAGUUUGCCAACCGAAAUCAGCUUCUAGUGCAGAAAAUACCUACUGAAUUUUUAGAAAUGAUCAAGAAAUAACUCAUAUGCACCGAGUUCGAAUCAAAUGUUUCUGAACUUUUUGUUAAAAUUAAGCAUUCUCAUUAUAAAGACUAAAGAUUGUUUACGGAACUGGCAGCCACUUUAAAAAGGCAAUAAGAAUAUUGGAAAAGUGCGAAAAAUCAGCAGUGCGAUCGAUAGCAGGUCCAUGAUCUUUACUUCAUUCCUCCAGCAAUUAAUAAAUUA